rnacentral:ncRNA from 1 species
CGAGCCGCUGCUUGGGAGAGCGCCGGUUCGAGGCGAUCCGCGGAAGGUCUGGGAGGACCGGGGGCGGAUCCGAGAAGGGAGAACCACCGAUGCAGAAUACGCUUCUGGUCGGCUUGUCGCGGCAGGUCGUGCUCG